rnacentral:rRNA from 1 species
UACGGGGGGGGCAAGCGUUGUUCGGAAUUACUGGGCGUAAAGGGCUUGUAGGUGGCCAACUAAGUCAGACGUGAAAUCCCUCGGCUAAACCGGGGAACUGCGUCUGAUACUGGAUGGCUGGAGUGUGGGAGAGGGAUGCGGAAUUCCAGGUGUAGCGGUGAAAUGCGUAGAUAUCUGGAGGAACACCGGUGGCGAAGGCGGCAUCCUGGACCGAGAUUGACGCUGAGGCGCGAAAGCCAGGGGAGCAAACGGG